UACGUAGGGUGCAAGCGUUGUCCGGAAUUAUUGGGCGUAAAGAGCGUGUAGGCGGCCAGGUAGGUCAGCUGUGAAAACUCGAGGCUCAACCUCGAGACGUCGGUUGAAACCACCUGGCUAGAGUCCGGAAGAGGAGAGUGGAAUUCCUGGUGUAGCGGUGAAAUGCGCAGAUAUCAGGAAGAACACCCGUGGCGAAGGCGGCUCUCUGGGACGGUACUGACGCUGCGACGCGAAAGCGUGGGGAGCGAACAGG
rnacentral:rRNA from 1 species